rnacentral:rRNA from 1 species
UACAGAGGGGGCAAGCGUUAUUCGGAAUUAUUGGGCGUAAAGGGCGCGUAGGCGGCCUGGCAAGUGGAAGGUGAAAUCCCUCGGCUUAACCGAGGAACUGCCCUCCAAACUGCUUGGCUUGAGUCCGGGAGAGGUGAGUGGAAUUCCCAGUGUAGCGGUGAAAUGCGUAGAUAUUGGGAGGAACACCAGUGGCGAAGGCGGCUCACUGGACCGGAACUGACGCUGAGGCGCGAAAGCGUGGGGAGCGAACUGG